rnacentral:lncRNA from 1 species
AGGUCAAGCGCGAGAGUAAGAACUAUUCAAGAAGUCACAGUACUUAGCAAAACUUUGCGAUCAGGUGGGCAAUUUCUUACGCGUAAAUAAAAUGCUAUGCAAGUAUUAUGCUUUAAAAUGCAAAUUGGAUUUUCAAGCGUGGUAUGCUUUAUUACGCUUAAAUGAGUUAAGCUUUAUUAUGCUUUACGCUAAAUAAUUUACGCUUGAUUAUGCUUAUUUACGCUUGAAUGCUUUACACUGAUAAGUUUAUGCUUAUGUUUGAUGCUUGCGUCUGUUGGGGGAGGCCUCUCUCAACAGUACGAUGCCGUGUCCGCUGAGGAGGGCCUUCCUCACGGCGCGAUGCCCGUGUCCGCUGAGAGAGGCCUCUCUCGCGGCGCGAUGCCAGUAUGCCAGUAUGCCAGUGUUACAGCGUCUAUUGGGGGAGGCCUCCCUCAAUAGUACGAUGCCAUGACCGCUGAGGGAGGCCCCCUUCACGGCGCGAUGCCCGUGUUCGUUGGGGAAGGCCUUCUCCACGACACGAUGCUUGUUAUGAUUGUUGAUGAUGAAGAAUGCGCUCAUGCUAUUUAUGAAUUUGGAAAUGUUUAAUGAGCAAAGGAUUUGAAAGAAACUUAUGCCUCUUAUGCGAUGUUGUGUUUGUGUUGAUGUUAUGUUAUAUGAUUGGCAACUGCCCACUAAGUACUCUUGUACUUAGCCCUUCGAUGUUUAUGAUUGUGCAGGUUGAGCUGUGAUGGGCGAUGAAGUGUUGCUGAGUGGAGUUUUUGUCGAACUUAAAGUAGGCUCAGAAAGGAUACAUGUCUUCAUACAUGUAUCUCAGUUAUGCAUUCCGCUGUAAACACUGAUUAUUUCAGUCA